UACGUAGGUGGCAAGCGUUGUCCGGAUUUACUGGGCGUAAAGGGCGUGCAGGCGGUUUGUUAAGUCUAGGGUGAAAGCUCCCGGCUCAACUGGGAGAGGUCCUUGGAUACUGGCCGACUUGAGGGAGGCAGAGGAGAGUGGAAUUCCCGGUGUAGUGGUGAUAUGCGUAGAUAUCGGGAGGAACACCAGUGGCGAAGGCGGCUCUCUGGGCCUUACCUGACGCUGAGACGCGAAAGCGUGGGGAGCGAACCGG
rnacentral:rRNA from 1 species